GGUCCCAUAGCUCAGUUGGUUAGAGCGUCGUACUAAUAGUCAUACCCCGUCCUUCGGACGGUGACCAUUGAGUGAAAUGCGAAGGCCGAGAGUUCAAGCCUCUCUGGGACCA